AAAAAGCUUCGCAAUAGUGAAUAUUUAACCUGAGAGCUCUCUAAAAUAUGCUACAUGAAAAUGUUCGCUGGGUGAGAGCGACUAUCUCUAACACAACCCCAUAUAUAAAUUCUCACUAAAUUUGAAGUGUGAAUAAAUAUAUGUCUAUUUUAUCUUGUGUUUGAAUAUUUAAUUAAUAAAUGAGAGCAAUCAAAAUCCUAAUUUUCAAUUUUUUCACUUAACAGGCUUUGAUAAUAUAUCAAUAAAUCACUCAAUUUAAAAACCGAAACUUAAAGUGAGGGUAAUAAGAAAAGGUUUGCAUCCUGACAUGUCGAUCCGCCUCUUCUGAUACUACCAUAAAAUGCAGAAUAUCCGUAAGCUUUAUAUUAAGUGACGCUAGACUUUCAUUUGCAUCACCGAGAUAGUAAUUGCGGCUAGGCACCAAGGCUUCCAAGAUAUUUCUGGACUGGCCAUUCUUAGCUUAACACGUACGCCUUUAGGUGA
rnacentral:misc_RNA from 1 species